GGACGAACGCUGGCGGCGUGCCUAACACAUGCAAGUCGAACGGAGUUGUUCCUUCGGGGGACAACUUAGUGGCGAACGGGUGAGUAACGCGUGAGAAACCUGCCUUUCAGUGGGGGACAACAGUUGGAAACGACUGCUAAUACCGCAUAAUGUUAUUUGGGGGCAUCCCUGAAUAACCAAAGAUUUAUUGCUGAAAGAUGGUCUCGCGUCUGAUUAGCUAGUUGGUGAGGUAACGGCUCACCAAGGCGACGAUCAGUAGCCGGUCUGAGAGGAUGAACGGCCACAUUGGGACUGAGAUACGGCCCAGACUCCUACGGGAGGCAGCAGUGGGGAAUAUUGGGCAAUGGGCGAAAGCCUGACCCAGCAACGCCGCGUGAAGGAAGAAGGCCUUCGGGUUGUAAACUUCUUUUACCAGGGACGAAGAACGUGACGGUACCUGGAGAAAAAGCAACGGCUAACUACGUG
rnacentral:rRNA from 1 species